AUGGCGACCGGGGCGGCGGCGAAGACUCCGACCAAGCCAUCGGCCCCCGCGGCGCCCAAGACCCCGGCCAAGCCUGCCCCCUCCACCACCGCGGCGGCGGCGGCGAAGACUCCGGCCAAGCCCCCGCUCACGGCGGCGACGGCGAAGACCCCGGCCAGGUCCGUCUCCCGCGCGCGGUUCGCGCACGCCUCCGAGAACUCCGACCCCAACAUCCUCGCCUCCCCUCCCCGGACCACGUCCAAGACCCCCGCCAAGCCCGCCGCCGCCCCCGCCGUCUCCGCCUCCGUCAGGAGGAAGCGCGGCACGCCCGCCCCACCGCCGCCGGUCCCGCAGCGCCGGUUCCUCGUGGCGAAGAAGGGCGCGCAUCGGCGGAGGCAAGCCGGCGCGAGCGGGGGAGGCGGCGAGUUCGACUUCGACAAGUGCCGCGAGGCCGCACGCGAGGCGCUGCGCGCGUCGCACGAGGAGUUCUUCCUCAAGGAGCGCGCGGUGUCCGCGGCCAGCGAGGAGCAGGAGUCCCAGAAGGAGGGAGCGGCCGACGAGGAAGCAAGCAGUGCCGCCGUUAUCGAGGAUGGGGAGGAGGGGUCUGUGGCGGAUUUGGAGGGGAGCGGCAAAGUCAGAGCGAUUCGGAGCAGAGUCAUGGCCAAGGCGAUGAACAGCGUGCCAGAUACUGGGGCCGGCCGUGUCAAGCACCUGGUGCAUGCUUUCGAGAGCCUGCUCUCCAUCUCCGGCGCCACCGCUGAUGCCGAACGGGCCGGCGAGGAGGCCUGGGUGCUGCCUGGAUUGCAGCCGUGGAACGAGGGGAGUGAGGGCUCGCCGGUGGCAGUGUUCUCCUCGUCCGAUUUCAUGAACAUGGGGCCGACCAGGCUUUGCAGUUCACUUGAUGGCAAGAGCAACAGAUCUAGCUGGGACAGCCAGACCGGAGGACGCAGGAGCCGGCGUAACUCAUCUGAAUCACUAAGGAGCAGCUGGAAUAAAAAGCUCAAGGUCACUAGCCAGCAUCCCUUCAAGCUGAGAACAGAGCAAAGGGGAAAAGCCAAAGAACAACAGUUUAUUCAGAAAGUCCAGGAAAUGUUAAUUGAGGAUGAGAAGAAGCGCAUACAUAUUGCUCAAGGACUUCCGUGGACAACAGAUGAGCCUGAGUGCUUGAUCAAGCCACCAGUCAAGGAAAGGACUGAGCCAGUCGACCUUGUUCUCCAUAGUGAUGUGCGCGCAGUUGAACGUGCUGAAUUUGAUCAAUAUGUAUCAGAGAGGAUCAAGUUUGGUGAGGAAUUAAGAUUGGAGCGGGAGCGUCAACAGAAGUUACAGGAGGAAGAAAUGAUAAGGCAGUUGAGGAAAGAGCUUGUUCCUAAAGCACAGCCAAUGCCGUAUUUUGAUCGGCCAUUCAUCCCCAAAAAGUCAUCAAAGACAAUAACAAUUCCGAAGGAGCCAAACUUUCAUCUCCGGCCUGAAAGGUUAUCAUGCGAUGCAUGGUCACUGGAAAGCUGA
rnacentral:rRNA from 1 species